GACGAACGCUGGCGGCGUGCUUAACACAUGCAAGUCGAACGGAAAGGCCUCUUUCGGGGGGUACUCGAGUGGCGAACGGGUGAGUAACACGUGAGUAACCUGCCCUUGACUUUGGGAUAACUUCAGGAAACUGGGGCUAAUACCGGAUAGGAGCUCCUGCUGCAUGGUGGGGGUUGGAAAGUUUCGGCGGUUGGGGAUGGACUCGCGGCUUAUCAGCUUGUUGGUGGGGUAGUGGCUUACCAAGGCUUUGACGGGUAGCCGGCCUGAGAGGGUGACCGGCCACAUUGGGACUGAGAUACGGCCCAGAUUCCGACGGGAGGCAGCAGUGGGGAAUAUUGCUCAAUGGGUGGAAGCCUGAUGCAGCAACGCCGUGUGCGGGAUGACGGCCUUCGGGUUGUAAACCGCUUUCGCUCAUGACGAAGCUUUGUGUGACGGUAGUGGGUAAAGAAGCACCGGCUAACUACGUG
rnacentral:rRNA from 1 species